GUUAGACCCAUAGACUAGCCACACCAGGUUUCUUACCCAAAUUUUAACCCUGAAGAUCCUACUACUUAAUCAUUUUCAAAAACUCCAUUUAGAAGAACAAAAUGAAUACAUUUUACUAUUUAAUAUUUAAAACCUGGCCUAAAGGAAUAAUAUUAACGUAUAUGAAUAUCUAAUAUUCAUAGCUAUGUAUGCUAUAGCUUUACCAUUGGGGCAAGCCAGACCAUGAAAGAACUGUACCCCACAUUAUAUACAUUUGCUUUCUGCUUCACAUUUGGGUGUUAUGACAUCAGCUGCCCUCCCAGACCCACCGUUCUAGGGUACAGCAGAACUCAAAGUGUUUGUCAACUUGGACUUCCGCCUGUCCACUAGCUUGCCUUAAGCAGAUUCUGAGGAGCUGCACUCAAGAUUGAUCCCCUAUGUUCUUUUGGUCUCAUAUUCUCUAGCCUUUCUUGUAACAGGCAUACCAGGUCAAAUGAGGGACAUCUGUCCAUUUGCAAACAAGCCAACCUCAUCCCUGAGGUCAGUGAUGAAGUGCUGAGUAACGAACUGGAAAAGCAAAUAAGUAAAGGAGUUAGGAAGGACACUUUCUUAUUCGGAGCUCACUAGAGAAUGUGAUUUUUCCUGAACAACUGCAUACUUCCUAGUAUGCCUUUUGGUAAACUACCCACGUUUCCCACAAUAUGUACCUGAUAUGGAGAGGGAAAAAAGCAAACCAUGGCGGUCUAAGCAGCUUAGAUUUGAUAAAAAUAAUAAGAGUGGUUCCUUCAGUUCAUUUUCCAAACCCUUCUGCCAGAACAAGCUGGUUCUUCUGGGAAGACGGAACUGCCUACGGCCAUAUGCACCCAUCUGUUCUUCUCUGCAAAAAUGUCUUGGCCUUUUCCACACAGAGCCAGUGGGUGGUGGGGGUGACCACUGCAGGUGGACAGGCCAGAUUGCAAGAGCCCCCAUUCUAGAGAGGGUCCUGUCCCAUACCCAGAAGGAAGGAAUGCUGCACAGAGGCCAAGAAGAAUCCAGACAGACAGGCCUUGCCGGGCUUCCCCGCUCAGUCUGUUUGUUUUAGACCAUGCCUUCUUUGUCCAGUCAUAUUUCUACAAGCCUGACCAUACUUUGCUGAACCAAAGCAUGAACAUGGACAGUUUGCUCUAUAUCUUUGGGUCUUCAUCCUGAAGGAUCCUGUGUCACAUAUAAAACUAUGAUCAAAUAAAUUUGUAUGCCUUCCUCCUA
rnacentral:lncRNA from 1 species